rnacentral:rRNA from 1 species
GAUGAACGCUAGCGGCAGGCUUAACACAUGCAAGUCGAGGGGUAUUGGUUUUCGGACCAAGAGACCGGCGCACGGGUGCGUAACGCGUAUGCAAUCUACCUUUCACAGAGGGAUAGCCCAGAGAAAUUUGGAUUAAUACCUCAUAGUAUUAUGAAGUGGCAUCACUUUAUAAUUAAAGUCACAACGGUGAAAGAUGAGCAUGCGUCCCAUUAGCUAGUUGGUAUGGUAACGGCAUACCAAGGCGACGAUGGGUAGGGGUCCUGAGAGGGAGAUCCCCCACACUGGUACUGAGACACGGACCAGACUCCUACGGGAGGCAGCAGUGAGGAAUAUUGGACAAUGGGCGCAAGCCUGAUCCAGCCAUGCCGCGUGCAGGAUGACGGUCCUAUGGAUUGUAAACUGCUUUUGUACAGGAAGAAACACUCCUACGUGUAGGAACUUGACGGUACUGUAAGAAUAAGGAUCGGCUAACUCCGUGCCAGCAGCCGCGGUAAUACGGAGGAUCCAAGCGUUAUCCGGAAUCAUUGGGUUUAAAGGGUCCGUAGGCGGUCUUAUAAGUCAGUGGUGAAAUCUCCCCGCUCAACGGGGAAACGGCCAUUGAUACUGUAGGACUUGAAUUAUUAGGAAGUAACUAGAAUAUGUAGUGUAGCGGUGAAAUGCUUAGAGAUUACAUGGAAUACCAAUUGCGAAGGCAGGUUACUACUAAUGGAUUGACGCUGAUGGACGAAAGCGUGGGUAGCGAACAGGAUUAGAUACCCUGGUAGUCCACGCCGUAAACGAUGGAUACUAGCUGUUGGGGGCAACUUCAGUGGCUAAGCGAAAGUGAUAAGUAUCCCACCUGGGGAGUACGUUCGCAAGAAUGAAACUCAAAGGAAUUGACGGGGGCCCGCACAAGCGGUGGAGCAUGUGGUUUAAUUCGAUGAUACGCGAGGAACCUUACCAAGGCUUAAAUGUAGAUUGACCGGUUUGGAAACAGACCCUUCGCAAGACAAUUUACAAGGUGCUGCAUGGUUGUCGUCAGCGCGUG